rnacentral:rRNA from 1 species
GGCAUUAUGUGCUUGCACAUUUUGGACGUCGACCGGCGCACGGGUGAGUAUCGCGUAUCCAACCUGCCCUUUACUUGGGGAUACCCCGUUGAAAGACGGCCUAAUACCCGAUGUAAUUCAUUGAUGGCAUCAGAUAUGAAUAAAAGAUUUAUCGGUAAAGGAUGGGGAUGCGUCUGAUUAGCUUGUUGGUGAGGUAAUGGCUCACCAAGGCAACGAUCAGUAGGGGUUCUGAGAGGAAGGUCCCCCACAUUGGAACUGAGACACGGUCCAAACUCCUACGGGAGGCAGCAGUGAGGAAUAUUGGUCAAUGGGCGCAAGCCUGAACCAGCCAAGUAGCGUGCAGGAAGACGGCCCUAUGGGUUGUAAACUGCUUUUAUACGAGAAUAAUUUGAUGCACGUGUGCGUUAUUGCAUGUAUCGUAUGAAUAAGGACCGGCUAAUUCCGUGCCAGCAGCCGCGGUAAUACGGAAGGUCCAGGCGUUAUCCGGAUUUAUUGGGUUUAAAGGGAGUGUAGGCGGUUUGUUAAGCGUGUUGUGAAAUUUAGAUGCUCAACAUUUAACUUGCAGCGCGAACUGUCAGACUUGAGUACACGCAACGUAUGCGGAAUUCAUGGUGUAGCGGUGAAAUGCUUAGAUAUCAUGAAGAACUCCGAUUGCGAAGGCAGCAUACGGGAGUGUAACUGACGCUUAAGCUCGAAGGUGCGGGUAUCGAACAGGAUUAGAUACCCUGGUAGUCCGCACAGUAAACGAUGGAUGCCCGCUGUUAGCGCCUGGCGUUAGCGGCUAA